GAUGAACGCUGGCGGCGUGCCUAAUACAUGCAAGUCGAGCGAAUGGAUUAAGAGCUUGCUCUUAUGAAGUUAGCGGCGGACGGGUGAGUAACACGUGGGUAACCUGCCCAUAAGACUGGGAUAACUCCGGGAAACCGGGACUAAUACCGGAUAACAUUUUGAACCGCAUGGUUCGAAAUUGAAAGGCGGCUUCGGCUGUCACUUAUGGAUGGACCCGCGUCGCAUUAGCUAGUUGGUGAGGUAACGGCUCACCAAGGCAACGAUGCGUAGCCGACCUGAGAGGGUGAUCGGCCACACUGGGACUGAGACACGGCCCAGACUCCUACGGGAGGCAGCAGUAGGGAAUCUUCCGCAAUGGACGAAAGUCUGACGGAGCAACGCCGCGUGAGUGAUGAAGGCAUUCGGGUCGUAAAACUCUGUUGUUAGGGAAGAACAAGUGCUAGUUGAAUAAGCUGACACCUUGACGGUACCUAACCAGAAAGCCACGGCUAACUACGUGCCAGCCGCCGCGGUAA
rnacentral:rRNA from 1 species